rnacentral:rRNA from 1 species
UACGAAGGGGGCUAGCGUUGUUCGGAAUUACUGGGCGUAAGGCGCACGUAGGCGGAUUGUUAAGUCGGGGGUGAAAUCCCGGGGCUCAACCCCGGAACUGCCUUUGAUACUGGCAAUCUAGAGUCCGGAAGAGGUGAGUGGAAUUCCGAGUGUAGAGGUGAAAUUCGUAGAUAUUCGGAGGAACACCAGUGGCGAAGGCGGCUCACUGGUCCGGAACUGACGCUGAGGUGCGAAAGCGUGGGGAGCAAACAGG